rnacentral:rRNA from 1 species
AUAGAGUCAAGUGAAUAAGUGCAUCAGGCGGAUGCCUUGGCGAUGAUAGGCGACGAAGGACGUGUAAGCCUGCGAAAAGCGCGGGGGAGCUGGCAAUAAAGCUAUGAUUCCGCGAUGUCCGAAUGGGGAAACCCACUGCAUUCUGUGCAGUAUCCUAAGUUGAAUACAUAGGCUUAGAGAAGCGAACCCGGAGAACUGAACCAUCUAAGUACCCGGAGGAAAAGAAAUCAACCGAGAUUCCGCAAGUAGUGGCGAGCGAACGCGGAGGAGCCUGUACGUAAUAACUGUCGAGAUAGAAGAACAAGCUGGGAAGCUUGACCAUAGCGGGUGACAGUCCCGUAUUCGAAAUCUCAACAGCGGUACUAAGCGUACGAAAAGUAGGGCGGGACACGUGAAAUCCUGUCUGAAUAUGGGGGGACCAUCCUCCAAGGCUAAAUACUCAUCAUCGACCGAUAGUGAACCAGUACCGUGAGGGAAAGGCGAAAAGAACCCCGGGAGGGGAGUGAAACAGAACCUGAAACCUGAUGCAUACAAACAGUGGGAGCGCCCUAGUGGUGUGACUGCGUACCUUUUGUAUAAUGGGUCAACGACUUACAUUCAGUAGCGAGCUUAACCGGAUAGGGGAGGCGUAGGGAAACCGAGUCUUAAUAGGGCGAUGAGUUGCUGGGUGUAGACCCGAAACCGAGUGAUCUAUCCAUGGCCAGGUUGAAGGUGCCGUAACAGGUACUGGAGGACCGAACCCACGCAUGUUGCAAAAUGCGGGGAUGAGCUGUGGGUAGGGGUGAAAGGCUAAACAAACUCGGAGAUAGCUGGUUCUCCCCGAAAACUAUUUAGGUAGUGCCUCGAGCAAGACACUGAUGGGGGUAAAGCACUGUUAUGGCUAGGGGGUUAUUGCAACUUACCAACCCAUGGCAAACUCAGAAUACCAUCAAGUGGUUCCUCGGGAGACAGACAGCGGGUGCUAACGUCCGUUGUCAAGAGGGAAACAACCCAGACCGCCGGCUAAGGUCCCAAAUGAUAGAUUAAGUGGUAAACGAAGUGGGAAGGCACAGACAGCCAGGAUGUUGGCUUAGAAGCAGCCAUCAUUUAAAGAAAGCGUAAUAGCUCACUGGUCGAGUCGUCCUGCGCGGAAGAUGUAACGGGGCUCAAAUCUAUAACCGAAGCUGCGGAUGCCGGUUUACCGGCAUGGUAGGGGAGCGUUCUGUAGGCUGAUGAAGGUGCAUUGUAAAGUGUGCUGGAGGUAUCAGAAGUGCGAAUGUUGACAUGAGUAGCGAUAAAGCGGGUGAAAAGCCCGCUCGCCGAAAGCCCAAGGUUUCCUACGCAACGUUCAUCGGCGUAGGGUAAGUCGGCCCCUAAGGCGAGGCAGAAAUGCGUAGUCGAUGGGAAACAGGUUAAUAUUCCUGUACUUGAUUCAAAUGCGAUGUGGGGACGGAGAAGGUUAGGUUGGCAAGCUGUUGGAAUAGCUUGUUUAAGCCGGUAGGUGGAAGACUUAGGCAAAUCCGGGUUUUCUUAACACCGAGAAGUGAUGACGAGUGUCUACGGACACGAAGCAACCGAUACCACGCUUCCAGGAAAAGCCACUAAGCUUCAGUUUGAAUCGAACCGUACCGCAAACCGACACAGGUGGGCAGGAUGAGAAUUCUAAGGCGCUUGAGAGAACUCGGGAGAAGGAACUCGGCAAAUUGAUACCGUAACUUCGGGAGAAGGUAUGCCCUCUAAGGUUAAGGACUUGCUCCGUAAGCCCCGGAGGGUCGCAGAGAAUAGGUGGCUGCGACUGUUUAUUAAAAACACAGCACUCUGCCAACACGAAAGUGGACGUAUAGGGUGUGACGCCUGCCCGGUGCCGGAAGGUUAAUUGAAGAUGUGCAAGCAUCGGAUCGAAGCCCCGGUAAACGGCGGCCGUAACUAUAACGGUCCUAAGGUAGCGAAAUUCCUUGUCGGGUAAGUUCCGACCCGCACGAAUGGCGUAACGAUGGCCACACUGUCUCCUCCCGAGACUCAGCGAAGUUGAAGUGGUUGUGAAGAUGCAAUCUACCCGCUGCUAGACGGAAAGACCCCGUGAACCUUUACUGUAGCUUUGCAUUGGACUUUGAAGUCACUUGUGUAGGAUAGGUGGGAGGCUUGGAAGCAGAGACGCCAGUCUCUGUGGAGUCGUCCUUGAAAUACCACCCUGGUGUCUUUGAGGUUCUAACCCAGACCCGUCAUCCGGGUCGGGGACCGUGCAUGGUAGGCAGUUUGACUGGGGCGGUCUCCUCCCAAAGCGUAACGGAGGAGUUCGAAGGUUACCUAGGUCCGGUCGGAAAUCGGACUGAUAGUGCAAUGGCAAAAGGUAGCUUAACUGCGAGACCGACAAGUCGGGCAGGUGCGAAAGCAGGACAUAGUGAUCCGGUGGUUCUGUAUGGAAGGGCUAUCGCUCAACGGAUAAAAGGUACUCCGGGGAUAACAGGCUGAUUCCGCCCAAGAGUUCAUAUCGACGGCGGAGUUUGGCACCUCGAUGUCGGCUCAUCACAUCCUGGGGCUGUAGUCGGUCCCAAGGGUAUGGCUGUUCGCCAUUUAAAGUGGUACGUGAGCUGGGUUUAAAACGUCGUGAGACAGUUUGGUCCCUAUCUGCAGUGGGCGUUGGAAGUUUGACGGGGGCUGCUCCUAGUACGAGAGGACCGGAGUGGACGAACCUCUGGUGUACCGGUUGUAACGCCAGUUGCAUAGCCGGGUAGCUAAGUUCGGAAGAGAUAAGCGCUGAAAGCAUCUAAGCGCGAAACUCGCCUGAAGAUGAGACUUCCCUUGCGGUUUAACCGCACUAAAGGGUCGUUCGAGACCAGGACGUUGAUAGGUGGGGUGUGGAAGCGCGGUAACGCGUGAAGCUAACCCAUACUAAUUGCCCGUGAGGCUUGACUCUAU